AAUUAGCUAAAUGCGCGUUAAGGAUUGCAGCGGAAAUACUUUUUAGCGGCUUUUCGCCGAUAAAAAGAUUGAAGCGAAAAGCCUGACCCGCC
rnacentral:sRNA from 1 species